AGAGUUUGAUCAUGGCUCAGAAUCAACGCUGGCGGCGUGCCUAACACAUGCAAGUCGAACGCGAAAGGGGAGCAAUCCUGAUUAGAGUGGCAAACGGGUGAGUAACACGUGGGUGACCUGCCUUCGAGUGGGGGAUACCCUUCCGAAAGGAGGGCUAAUACCGCAUGACAUACCGUGUUUGGAUACAUGGAUAUCAAAGCCGGGGAUCGCAAGACCUGGCGCUUGAAGAGGGGCCCGCGUCCGAUUAGCUAGUUGGUGGGGUAACGGCUCACCAAGGCUCCGAUCGGUAUCCGGCCUGAGAGGGCGGACGGACACACUGGAACUGAGACACGGUCCAGACUCCUACGGGAGGCAGCAGUGGGGAAUUGUUCGCAAUGGGCGAAAGCCUGACGACGCAACGCCGCGUGGAGGAUGAAGAAUUUCGGUUCGUAAACUCCUUUCGACCGAGAUGAAUAUCCGCCGACUUAACACGUCGGCGGACUGACAGUAUCGAGAGAAGAAGCCCCGGCUAACUCUGUGCCAGCAGCCGCGGUAAUACAGGGGGGGCAAGCGUUGUUCGGAAUUACUGGGCGUAAAGGGUUCGUAGGUGGCCACUUAAGUCAGACGUGAAAUCCCUCAGCUUAACUGGGGAACUGCGUCUGAUACUGCGUGGCUUGAGUGCAGGAGAGGAAUGCGGAAUUCCAGGUGUAGCGGUGAAAUGCGUAGAUAUCUGGAGGAACACCGGUGGCGAAGGCGGCAUUCUGGACUGUAACUGACACUGAGGAACGAAAGCCAGGGGAGCAAACGGGAUUAGAUACCCCGGUAGUCCUGGCCCUAAACGAUGAAUGCUUGGUGUGGCGGGUAUCGAUCCCUGCCGUGCCGAAGUUAACGCGAUAAGCAUUCCGCCUGGGGAGUACGGUCGCAAGGCUUAAACUCAAAGGAAUUGACGG
rnacentral:rRNA from 1 species